rnacentral:lncRNA from 1 species
UUUUCAGGAUGGGCUUUGAUUGGUGGCCCAAAUAAGACAAAACCGGAAAAUCAUUCACUGAAACGGCGCCGGUUUUUUGGAAUCCAGCUCGUCAUGCUCGGUGCUAGCCCCAAAUCAGCUUCUGGUGAAGGGACUCCGACGGCGUUGAUCACGAGAGCAAAUCGCAGAGAGUAAUUGGUAGGGUUUCUGAGUUUUCAGAAAUUUUCUUUUUUCAAUUGUCUUUUCCUGUAAUCAAUUAUAGAUAUAUGUAUAUAUGUGUCAGAACUGUUUCUGUCUAAAUAAAAUUAGCAUGAUCUGAGGUUCGUUUGUUAUCUUUCUUAUCUUGAAAUCUGAGUUAAAAUCGUUUACGUUCAUCUCCUUAAUUUGUUACCUAAGUUCAAGAGGAUAUGAAAAGAGUAAAAACAGUUUUGAAACAUUUUCGUUAUUUUCAUGUUGGAUUAUAUUACAUUAGAUGAUUGUUUAUGGUAGUAGAUGCUAAUGCAUCCUUUUUGCAUCUUUUGCUCUGUGUUUUUUCCCCUUCCCGGUUGAUUCAUAUAGAAUAGACUAUAUGUUUAGUGGAUGUAAGGAGGACGCUGAGGAUAAAGAUAGAUAAGAUUUUAACUGGCGCUUGUUUCAAUACUACUAUAUUCUUAUUCAGUUUCUAUAUCUAGGUUAUUUGAUACGUACCAAUUAGUAAUGCAUAAUUAAAUUCUCUCGUUACAUCUCUAAUUCUACAACCAUGUAUUUUAUAUUCUCAUAUAUUAAGAAGGAAUCACAAACACAACUAACUUGAACUUGAAUGAAAAUACUUUGAAAUCAAAAUGUUGUUUGGUUCAAAUAUCUAUUCUAUUUGCAUUCUAUUCUCAUUCUUAUUCUAUUAGUUUCAUUUAUCAAAACUCAAACACCACCUAACUCACUGCUAUUCAAUUGAGAGAAGCAGAGACCCAUUUGUCAGUGCUUCCAACUAAUGAAUUGACUAGAACUGAUGGGUGAACUUAUUUCCUUGAUACUGUGUUACCGCUAUAGAAUGCCUGAUCAAAUCGCACAGUUUAGAAUAUAAUGAUAUGGUAGAUCAUAAGGCUUCAAAAAAGCUGUCCAUGAGUUUUAGAUAUGUUAUGGAUGAAGACAGUUUUAGUUUUCUUUCAGUACUCUUUUUGAGCAUAAACAAAUUUGACAUGGUAUAAAAUUUUAGGGAAGGCUCUGCAUGAAUUCUGCUUCCUAAUCUUUCCAUAAGAAAUGCUGUUUUUUGUCCCUCUCUUGCAACAUUUCUUGUUCAGCGGAUAUUCUUAAGGACAUACAUGUUAUUACAUGCUAAAGAUUUCCUAUAUGUUCCCAUUUUUGUCAAGGCAAUGGUGUGAUGUUCAUUUAGAAGUUGUUCUUUUGUUCAUUAUGAAAAAGGUGUUUUACUUUUCAUCUUGAGACCUUCUAUGUUAUGCACUUAAUGUAAUUAUUUGACGAGGUUAAAUUCUUACGAGCAUGCUCCUGGCUAUUACAAUUCUGUGUUUUUGUACUCUGAUUUUAUUUAAAGAAAUAAAACUAUUUAAGAGUGAUUAUAGUCUGAGAGGAGGAAUUGGGGAUAUAUUAUUGAUUAUAGUGUCUGAAUUGAUGUUGGGAGGGAAUGGAAGAUGUCCUCUUAACUAUAAACCACGAACCAUGAUAACUCGAUAAGCCUCUUCCUUAGGUUAUCAUUGUCUUUUCUCAGCAUCUCCAAUGUAGGACAGUCAUGUUUUUUUCUCCUUUUUUGGAUGGAGAAAGGUGGGCUUAUAAUAGAAAGGACAUAAAUCUUUUGUUUAUGGUCCAUUUGGUAUCUACCAUCUCUAAAGGACCACGAGUCGAUUUAAAUGGAAAGAUAAAAGGUUUUACUCUGUUUUAUUCAGCUACCUCACUAAUAAAUUUGAAGUUUUGAGUGUUUCUCUGUUGGACAAGAAAAUUUAUAUAUAUAUAUAUCACAUGACCUAAAUUAAUUGAGGAGUUGUAAUUCGUAAUGCAUGUAACUGUUAUAUGAAGUAUAAGAAUAUUUAGCUAGGGGUUGAGUCUAUAAUAUAGAUAUUCUAGUUACUACUGCUAUUCUAUUGUUUUUUUUUUGUUUUCUUUUUAAAUUUUGCUUAAGUCGCAAAGCCACUUUGUGUAACAAGUGGGACUUGAGCAGAGUCAAACUUUCAUCCACCCAAACAGUGGAGACAAACUGCCAACCGAGCUAUGCUUGGUUUAUCAAAAUUAUAUUGUUGAAGGGAAAGAAACAAUAUUCCUUUGAAGUUUGCAAUGUUAAAAGUAUAGCAAUGACAUCUUUACAUCAGAGUACAAAGAAUUUUACUAUAAUCUGGAAGAAACUUAGUACUAACAUAAACAAAACUAGUUCAUAUUCAAACAAAGAUCAGAAAACAACUCUAGAGGUUUUCUUUUGGGAGCUUGCACCAUCAUCUAUAUUGUGGUUUCUGCUUGGCUGUUGAUUAUAAUCUCAGCUUACAAUACAAUGAUGAUGCGAGCUCACAGAAUAGCUUCGAGGGUCAUCCUCUGGUUCUGUCACCUAUACAUCUCUUUAGGGAAAAAGCUCUUAAAACAUAAUAGAGAAAAAACUAACCAAUUAACCAACCUUGUAAGCAUUCUAUGGUGAAGCAGAUAAAAUCCACGGUUUUGUCCGUAUAUAUGAGCAUAGUUACAGUCUGUUUCUUCAGUGUUUUAACUCCCUGCUUUUUUCUCUGCUUGAGGACAGGACUUGGAUGUACUAGGCCCUAUUGUGAAUAGGAUCUGAUCCUCUUCUUACCCUUCUUUUGCUUGAUUGAUUUGGAUCAAGUGUGCUGCUUACAUAUGCUGACUUCUUGUCUGUAUUCAUGUUCUCCAUGUUACCCUUGAGAAUACGCUGACUGCGGUGCACUAUUCCUGCAUGUUCUUGGCUAUGUCUGACCACAAAAUCUAUACUUCUCAAGCCAGAAACUUUAUCUAGUUGGAUUGCCAAUAAUUGGAUGCUGAUAAGUAGGACAAGCGUGCUACCAGCCCUAAAACUCAUAAUUUCUAAGCAAAAACAAGAAGGAUAGAACUACCUUUCUUCUGUUUAGGGUAAUGAGAGAAUAAACAAUUCUGAAAUUGUAAUACUUCCGUGCUUAUAUUCCUUUAUAUAGGCCUGCUAUUUAUCUCUGAUUGUAUUUGAAGGGGGACUUUAAAGCGUAAAGCUAGGAGGGGCCCGGAGCACCCAGUGGGGAAUUUUAGAUUCACCCAAAUCAUAAGACUGUAAUGAAGCCAAGCUAAGGCUGUUAUGGAAGAAUCUGACAAUGAUGAAUAAAGGGGUUGGAACCAUACCCUUGAGAAGCCAAGUAUCUUUUCUUCAUUCCUUUCCCCGCAUCUCUAUAAUUUUCUUGCUUUUGUCUACCAACACAAGGCUAGACAAGUCUCUUGAUCCCUUAGACAUCUGGCCACGUCACCCGACCAUGCUUAUGUGUACAUUCACUAGAUAUUUAAAAUAUUCUUGUUUAGCCAAUCUCGAGAUCAGCCAAGGCUGCUCUUGUGGAUGGCAUCAAAUUCUAUUCUAUAGCUUAACCAUUAUGAACUUUUGGGAAUAUCAUAUAAUGUUUGACACAAACUUGAUUGUAAAAUAACAUCAGAACAUCUAUGGCAGGGCAUUAUGGUAAGUUAACAAUACUUUGUUACUAAGAAAAGGGAGUUCUUGUCUUUGUUUAUCUUUAUCUGUGUUUUUUAAUGGGAGUGACCGGGCAGACAAGAGCCAGGGGACACCUAAAACUGUUGGAUUGCUACAGUAGCAUGCUAGUUUUAUAAAGAAUAAAAAACUGUGGAGGAGAAAAGAACAUGGAAUAUGUGGAGCAGUACCCAAAAGAAGUAUACACUGCUUUAUGCCAUUCUAAGAUCUCCUCCUCACUUUAGAAUUCCAAGCUCUCUUCUCUAUGCAACAAAAAUAAACAGUACUUGGUUUCUUGUGCUAAAUUUGCUUCUUUAUGCUUUGCUUUGGGUUUUGCCAGACUCUUAAUCGUCCAUUCAUGAUUUAGAGAAGACCCACUCCCUCUUCUUUCUCUCCCUGAAUUGCUAAUAUUUUUUAUUCUCGUUUAUUCAUGUAGACCAUCUUUUUCUUUAGUUCCCCUCACUUUUCUUUUGAACAGUGGCUUAAUAUAAUAUACGAAUAUCACAUGCAACUUGGAACUUUCUAAAGCAUAAUUUACUACACUUUAUUACAACUAGCUGUAUCUAAUGUUGCUAAGAUUUGCUUGUGCCUUGAGAUGAAGAUGAAGUGUGCCAUGGUUGGGCUGUGUACACAUGCAUGCACGUACUGAUACAUCAAAACUGAAAACCUAUGUAGAGAUUUCAUAGGAAUCAAUCACGUAUUUGGUGAAUUUAUUAACAUUUACACUAUCAGCUCGGUUACUUUAAUUUCUUUUGUGAUAAUGUACAGAGGAAACAGUAAAUUUGUAAUUCCAGCUUGCCGCCAAAGACAAAAAGGUGGUGACCUUACUCCUCAGUGCUUAAGAGUUGAGCUACCGUACAGUCCCAUGUUUGAGGUAAAAUGUACUUCAAGAAUCGCCGGCUCUUCUGUUAAAAGUUCAGUUUUCCAUUUAGAAUCCUAACAGAGCCAUAUCCACUUUAGAAUAUGUCUAAUUAAAAAGUGAUCUUACCACAGAAAAAUAGUAUGAUAAUAAUAGUGUAAACGAUAUGAAAAUAAUCCUUUAAAACAAACAAAUAAUAAAAAUACCAAAAUGCAGAAAAGGGAAAAGAGAAACAUUGCAAAUUAAGGCUUUUGUAGAUUCUCGAGGCUGGUGACUGGUCUUAAAUUUGUUUUUAAGGUCUCAUAGGCGAAAACUGGUCUCAAAGUAAUGAAUGACAACAUCUAUCUGCCACUUAAAAAAGGAGUUCAAACAAAUGUAAUGUGGCAAAGCAAGUUAAAGAAGAUAAAGCAUGCAGAGUUAGUAAUAUUCACAAGAUCAUUCCGCACAUCUUUGAACUAUUCCCUCUUUUAAAUCCUUGCCCUCUAUUCUUACAGACGCCUACAAACGUCAUAUAUAUUCUCUGUAGUAGCAUUUGGUAGCAUUGCAAUAUAACAUUAGAUAAAUGUUUAUUCGUUGCGAUAGGGAUACGAUCGCUUUAUGGUCACAUGAUAAUAUCGAAGUCUUCUUUUUUAAGUUGUAUUCUAUCAAUAUACAUAUUUUUUUUAUUCGAAAAUUGUAUUUGAUGCAAAAUUUGCACUUAGUUACAUGUUCAAAUAUUUGCCAAUAUCAUAGUUUGAAAUACUAAACAGGAUAGUUAAUCUUUUAAGACAGACGCACAAUAAGUAUAAAAUAGUUCGAACUUACAAGUAACAUUUAAUUAAGAAAUAGUUGAUAUAGUCGAUAGAUAGAUGGGAGGAAAAUUGAAUUACAAGUAACAAAAUUGAUUUCAUUAAAUAUGUAAUUACAUACUUUGAAUUUUCUAUUAAAAGGGAGAGGUACAAUCAGAAUGUUAAAAAUUUAAAAGGGAGAUGAACUAGUGCAAUACUUUUUAACAUUCUUCUCAUGGGUUGUAAUCAUGGGUUGGGUAUGUAAGAAUAUAUGCUUCCUACUUUUAUCCAACUAUCUAAUUCAUUUUAAAUUUAACAAAAAAAAAGGUGUAGUUUAUGUGGAUUGGUGCAAGAUUAAGCCACCAUGAGGGGAAUUUCGAGGUUCUGAUAGAGAAAAAAAGUUCUAAAAGUUAAGUUCUUCAUCUAAUUUUUCAAUUGUUAAGAUUUCUUCCUACCUAAUCUAGAGGUUCAGUCAUUGAGACACCAUGCUUUGGAACAUAGGAGUGUACUUCUUCUUGGAAAUUGAUCAUGUGACAGAAAAAUAUUACACAACAAAGUUGUCUAAGUAAUAUCUUCAGUAAUCUUAUAUUAUAUUUUAAAUGAGUUAUUUUAUUUAUAAAGAGAUCUUCUCUCCGUUACCUAGUCAAUUUCGUUAAAUUAUCUACUAGCGGUAUUUAUGAGAACUUAGUCAUUGAAGAGAGAAUGAAGAUAAAGCUUUUUUUCUAGCUCCUAUUAUUUGCAUUCCACUUGUAUAAGUAACUUCAUUUAUAUAAUUAAUGUCUUAAAUAACAAUCAGAGUAAUGGUGGAACAUGGUAAUGUCUUGAUUUUGUAGCAGUUCCAAUGGUUCUGUGAGUAAUAAGUCUGGUAGGUUUUGUGAUUUGAGAACCUUUUGAUUUUCAUUUGGUAGGUUGUGUGAUUAAAUCCAGAAGAGCCAAAAUCAUCAAAAUAUCAUUAUACUGUCCAUAAUACUUAUAAAAAGUUAAUAUUAUAGUCGAUUAAUAAUUUAACUUUGUAAAUGUCAUGUCAUUGAGGUGAACAGUGUAUAAAUGAUAUUGUAAGAUAAUAUUUUUGACCAGUUCUAAAAUGCUUCUGGAUACUUGGAUAUAUUUUAUCUGCCGUUUAGCCAGUAAGUUUGCUUCCAGUGCAGCAUGAAUCAUUGUAAUGAAUAGGAGAAGAGAUGCAGAACAGAUGUGACCAAAGUGCUUCAUUGCAGAUGAAAUGUUACCCCUAUUUACCCGACAAAAUCUUAAAAUUAACUUUCCCUAAACACCUUCGUGUGCUAAGCACUCGAGAGAAUUCUUAUAUACAGAAAACAUCGGGAGAGCGAAAAAUGACACCAUUAAUACAGAGGUAAGAGCAGGAAUAGGGAAUGUAAUCUCGACCUUUUUCAUUUUCUUAAUUGACAUUUCAAAGCUUAUUGAUUCAGGACGCCUCUAUCUUUUGACAUUACACAGUAUUCAGUACACAGGAAUUUCGAGAGAAUACAAUCUGCCCAUGUAAAUCAAUCAAACGGUUUCUGGGUGUGUAGCCACGGGGGGUCCCGAUGCUAUAGUAAAGUGCACACCUCUAUGCUGCCCAGAUUGUAGCACGAAAGCAACUUGUGUUGCUGCCAACGCGGCUGCCUCCUGUUCCAAAAAACUCAAAUGUAUAUAGAAUAUAUUUUGCAAAACAAUUUCCAAAGAACUCAUUUCACUAAAUAAUUGCCAGGAACAACUGUUCAAGGCCUUUUCUGCGAAUAUAUAGAUUAGACUAAAACCUAAGAGAAAAAUAAUAAAAGAUGAAUGAGAUACCAACCUGCCUUUGCCUCCGGCGUUGUAAGAUACUAAUGGCCCAAGCCAUGAUGUAGCAUGGCAGAAGGAAUCCAGCAGCCCGAAGCAGGAAAAGCUGCAGAGGAUAAAACCAAGUUAAUCAUCCUAGAUACAUUCACCUGUUUUCGAUGUAACAAAACCGAAAGGAACCCUAGGAUUCACUUACAGAGAAAAAAGUAGAUACAUCGUCUUCUCCAUCAGUAUCAGUGACAGCCAACGCAUGACGCAAGAGCAAAAGGGCCAUUAACUGGCAAAGAAACCAAAUUUGAGCAAGGUCACUUCUGGAUUGCAUGGAUAAUCAAUGAAACUUUUGGAAAAAAAAAUAGGAACGUUAACAUAGUAAAUGCUAGUGAAUACCAUCACUGUUCUUUUGCCUGGAAAGCAGUGAGGUUGUACUUAACUAUUGAAAAUCUAAUUAAAAGGGGAAGAUCAUCAUGAAUGGAUGCUUCGGUUCUAGGCUUAUAGUCAAAAGGAUGUGGGCCCAGAGAGGCAUCCGUUAAGAUAAAACACUACAAUAAGUACUUAGACUAAUCCUCUUGGCUGUGUUAUGGGUAGAAGAGAUUUUGAGAACAUAGGAUUAUAUUUUGAUAGAAUUAAUGAUAUUUGGUUCUAAACAGUUUUUUUAUUGUCAUCCUCUACACUAGAGUGGACCAGAGAACCAGAUUGAUAUUGAUAUAUUUAUAAAUGUUUUUAUACACGGGUUGCAUCCCUUGGUGUUGUCUAAUACUACACUUUCUUCUUUCGAAAAGAAAACUAAAUGCUAGUGAAUACAGGACUCUAUUCCGGCGAGCCAGUCUAGGUGGCUGCCUAAUGAGGCUGGUAGAUUAAGUCCCAGAAAAAUGGAACAGAACAUAUUCCUCCAUGGUUAACCUGACAAUAUUCCUCCAUCCAUCAUUUGCAAAAAGGGAUGUACCUUUUUGCAAUCAAUCAAUAUGGUCCUCCCUUUUUGCAAUCCAUCAAUACUACAUCUCAAGGUUAGAAUGCAGAUAAGGUUGCAGUAUCUAUGAAAUAUAAAUCAUAAGAUUUAGCCAUAAUAAUCUAGAAGUUGCUUGAUUAGAGGCUUACAAUAAGAGCAGCUGAGCGACAAAAUACAGCCCCGCUAGCAUUGGAAGCAGCAUAGUCAUCAUAUUCAGCUUCCAAAAAUUGACGUUCUGCCUCUGCAAUUGCCAAGAGUCGAGGAUCACGCAAAUCCAAAGGAGUACCAGAGAUUGUCCACCCUCCACUACAAGAGAAAUUCAUGAAUAAAAGGAUAAUCAUCUAGAAUAUCAUGAUUAUUUUAAAUACAUUAGCACCUAAGAAUGCACAUCUGGUUAGAUCCAUUCUACUUUAUGGAAAGUAUUUAACUUACCCAAUAUCAAUUGCGGUUUCUUCAGGACGAGGAGGUGGAGCAGUAUAACCUGGUUGGUAUGGCUGUGCACCAGAUAAAAAAUCCAAAAACCGAGAAAAAGUGAAAAACUUAAAAAAUUUUAAGAAAGAAGAAUCUAGAAAUGUAACUAUCCAUUCUAUGACUAUAAUAGCCCAUAAUAGUUUUGACAAUAAUAGACACACCUGAUGGCAGAUUUCACAAGUAAUAUCACCUUUUUCAUUGCACCAAUGCUGGACACAUUUUCGAUGAGCAUACUGGAUUUGAAAAAAAAAAAAAAAGCAAAUCGAUCUCGUCAGAAGCCGAAAUAAAAGAUGCAUAGUGAAACUCGAAUACUGCCUCACACAAAUACUACUAAAAGACAAUAGUUGAUAAUCAAGAGUUACAAGAUCUAAGAGUGUGUUUAACACUUUCGCUUGCCCGAAUAGCAUGCAACUCAAUUCCGGUUCAGCACUUACAAUAAAAUUACAGGAUAGGCGGAUGAAAAUGGUGUAAAGACACUCAGCACUCAGCAGGAAAAUAGUUAUCAGAGUGCCUGAGAAAGGGGCAUUACAUCUGAAGCAACACCUAAAUGCACUAUAAUCCUAAUAAAAGCAUGGAAUUAAACAACCCGUAAUCAAGAACAUAGUGGAACAAGAAUGCAAUGAAAUUAUCAUUCCACCUCCUCCUUUGACUGUGAGAAAACAAAUAGAAACAUAACAAAAAUGAAACUUGGUUAGAAAAAUAGUCUUUUGUUUUACAGGGGAAAAAAAUUUUAAGAAAUGAGCAAAAAUUAGUCUUUCUUUUUUUAAAUGUUAGGAGAUUAUUUACAGUAAUAAACACCAAAGAAAAACUUUCAAGCAAAAAAAUUGCUUUAUAAAGCACAUGAGAUCAUAUCUUCCUAAUCGAAUGGAAGACUCCUUAAAACAAAUAAAAGGGUUUCCGUAGGACUAAAAAUAAGAAAGGUGGGGAAGAAAACGAGUCGGUGUGCUAAUUCCUAGUCCUCAAAUUAGUCCUUCCCAUGAAUUAUGGUCCCAGCGAAUAAAUAAUUGUAGGAGUGAAAUCUUGAUAUAAUUCGAAAAAGCAAGGAGCAAGUUCCAUGAUGUUUGCCAUGAAUUAGUACACAGAAUUUCAACAUAAUCAAACAAAGAAUAAACCUUGAAAUUUAACCAUGAAUAAUGACUGAAUUAGAGUUCAACCAUGGAAUGUAAAAGCAAACUAAUAUGUACAUAAAGUCAUCUAACGGGCAUUCAAGAUAAUAAAUAUGGUGAUAACUGUCUGAUUCUUAAAUUUCAAAAUCCUUAAACGAAAAUUAACGAAACUCAUUAAGUAAUACCUUGAGGCUACCACUGCAAGCGCAGGGAGUCUCGAGAUUCGUGAUGGAAUCCUCCUCCUGGCAAAUGCGGCACUCAGCCAUCUGAAUCAACGGCUCUUCCUCGCCAGAACCCUCGUUUCCUUCCUCCUCAUCAACAUGUUCAUCCACAGGCGCAGCCGCAGGUGCAGAAGCCGCCGAACUCGACGGCCCCGCAGCUUCCGGGGAGGUCUUCUCCGCCUCCGCGGGGACCGGAUGUACGGACACGGGUCUCACCAACCGGUCCACAUACAGAACCACGUGAUCACUCAUCUCUCUCAAAAAAAUGCUCUAUUCCAAAAAACCUAAAACGAAUAUGAAGCAGAAAAAGAUUGGAAAAAUAAAAAUGUGGAGCCAAACCCUAGAAACCAAGGAUCGCGCUGGUGGUGGAAUCAGCGCGAUUCGGAGGUUUCCGAGAAAAUUAGAGGAAAAAAAAAAGAAGAAAGAAACUAAGAGGCAAACAAAAGAAAUUCAAGAAAAGAGAAAUGUCGAAAGAAAUAUCCUCGAGAUCGUAUACAUUACCUGCAACAAUGGCGACAAAUGCUUAAAAAGCGUGCGGCUUUCAGCUGUUGAGAGCGAUAAAUCAGGAGAGGAAAGUAAUUUUCUCGAACGCGUUUCCUAAAAUUUCUAGACAGGAAAAUGGGAUUUGUCGAAAGAUAAAAAGUAUAGUUUGGUUUUAGCGUCGCUACCGUCUAGGAGCAAACGGUCGAAAUUGACGAUCAUUAAGAUGUAUAAAAUUUAGUUGACCUUCUGUUAUAAUAAUGCGAGGGUAAUCUGGUAAUUUUAUCCCGCAGAUUCGUGGGUAUUUUCGUAAUUUAACAACCCAAUUUGCCGUGUUGAAAUCGAACGACCCCCGUCUGUCAUGGUUGUCAGGUACGUAGUCGUCUAUGGGUUGGCAACUCAUAUAUUUCAACAGAUUCUUCUUGAUAAUAUCUCUCAU